AACGAACGCUGGCGGCAUGCCUAACACAUGCAAGUCGAACGAGACCUUCGGGUCUAGUGGCGCACGGGUGCGUAACGCGUGAGAACCUGCCCUUAGGUUCGGAAUAACUCCCCGAAAGGGGUGCUAAUACCGGAUAAUGUCUUCGGACCAAAGAUUUAUCGCCUUUGGAUGGGCCCGCGUUGGAUUAGCUAGUUGGUAGGGUAAAAGCCUACCAAGGCGACGAUCCAUAGCUGGUCUGAGAGGAUGAUCAGCCACACUGGGACUGAGACACGGCCCAGACUCCUACGGGAGGCAGCAGUGGGGAAUAUUGGACAAUGGGCGAAAGCCUGAUCCAGCAAUGCCGCGUGAGUGAUGAAAGCCUUAGGGUUGUAAAGCUCUUUUACCCGGGAUGAUAAUGACAGUACCGGGAGAAUAAGCUCCGGCUAACUCCGUG
rnacentral:rRNA from 1 species